GCCGGUCCCCUGGGCGCAGCCUGAUCAGCCAUGCCGCGUGAGUGAUGAAGGCCUUCGGGUUGUAAACCUCUUUCGGCCGGAACGAACUCGUCCCUGCCAAUACCCCGUGUGGAUGACGGUACCGGAAGAAAAAGCCCCGGCUAAAUUCCUGCCCGCCGCCGCGGUAAUUA
rnacentral:rRNA from 1 species